GAUGAAGAACUCAGUGAAAUGCGAUACUUGGUGUGAAUUACAGAAUCCCGUGAACCAUCGAGUCUUUGAACGCAAGUUGCGCCCGAAGCCAUUAGGCCGAGGGCACGCCUGCCUGGGCGUCACACGUCGUUGCCCCCCCAUCUACUCCUUCGGGAUUGCGGGGGGCGGAUGAUGGCCUCUCGUGCGCCUCGUCGCGCGGUUGGCCUAAAUGCCAAGUCCUCGGCGACGCACGCCACGACAAUCGGUGGUUGCGAAACCUCGGUUGCCUGUCGUGUGCGGUCGUCGCGCAUCGAGGGCUCGAAAAAAUUGCCGGGCUUCGGCUCGACUUUCAACGCGACCCCAGGUCAGGCGGGGUUACCCGCUGAAUUUAAGCAUAUCAAUAAGCGGAGGA
rnacentral:misc_RNA from 1 species